rnacentral:rRNA from 1 species
UACGGGGGGGCAAGCGUUGUUCGGAAUUACUGGGCGUAAAGGGCUCGCAGGCGGCCGACUAAGUCAGACGUGAAAUCCCUUGCUUAACCAAGGAAUGGCGUCUGAUACUGGACGGCUUGAAUCCGGGAGAGGGAUGUGGAAUUCCAGGUGUAGCGGUGAAAUGCGUAGAUAUCUGGAGGAACACCGGUGGCGAAGGCGGCAUCCUGGACCGGUAUGACGCUGAGGAGCGAAAGCCA